rnacentral:rRNA from 1 species
UCUAGAAGCUUCGGCAAUGGGGGCAACCCUGACCGAGCGACGCCGCGUGCGGGACGAAGGCCUUCGGGUCGUAAACCGCUUUCGACAGGGAUGAAUAGUAGGGGGACUAACACUCCCCUUAAAGUGACAGUACCUGGUGAAGAAGCCCUGGCUAACUCCGUGCCAGCAGCCGCGGUAAUACGGAGAGGGCACGCGUUGUUCGGAUUUAUUGGGCGUAAAGCGAGCGUAGGCGGUAUGGUCAGUCGGAUGUUAAAGACCCACGGCUCACCCGGGGGAAUGCGUUCGAUACUGCCGUACUGGAGUGUGGGAGAGGGAAGUGGAAUUCCUGGUGUAGCGGUGAAAUGCGUAGAUAUCAGGAGGAACACCUGUGGCGAAGGCGGCUUCCUGGCCCAUAACUGACGCUGAGGCUCGAAAGCGUGGGGAGCGAACG